rnacentral:rRNA from 1 species
GUCGAGCGCUCUCAAGCUAUGUAGAGAGCGCGGCGAACGGCUCCGUAACACGUAGUUAACCUACCCUCGGGAUGGGGAUAACCCCGGGAAACUGGGAUUAAUACCCACUAGAUGAUUAUACCUGGAAUGGCUUAUCAUCGAAAGAGUCUGGAAACAUGCUUCCAGCGUCGCCCGAGGAUGGGACCGCGUCCGAUCAGGUUGUUGGUGGGGUAACGGCCUACCAAGCCUAUAACCGGUACGGGCCCUGAGAGGGGGAGCCCGGAGAUGGAAACUGAGAAAAGGUUCCGGGCCCUACGGGGUGCAGCAGGCGCGAAACCUCCACAAUGCGCGAAAGCGUGAUGGGGUUAUCCCGAGUGCCGUCCGAUGAGGAUGGCUUUUCAUCGGUGUAAGGAUCCGAUGGAAUAAAGGGGGGGCAAGACUGGUGUCAGCCGCCGCGGUAAUACCAGCCCCCUGAGUGGUAAGGACGAUUAUUUGGCCUAAAGCGUUCGUAGCCGGCUUAUCAAGUCUUUUGUUAAAUCCAACGAUUCAAUCGUUGGGCCGCAAAAGAUACUGUUAUGCUAGAGGACGGGAGAGGUCGACGGUAUUCCAGGGGUAGGGGUGAAAUCCUAUAAUCCUUGGAGGACCACCAGUGGCGAAGGCGGUCGACUAGAACGUGCCUGACGGUGAGGGACGAAAGCUGGGGGAGCGAACCGGAUUAGAUACCCGGGUAGUCCCAGCCGUAAACGAUGCGGGCUAGGUGUUGGGGCAGCCACGAGCUGCUCCAGUGCCGCAGAGAAGUUAUUAAGCCCGCCGCCUGGGGAGUACGGCCGCAAGGCUGAAACUUAA